rnacentral:tRNA from 2 species
GGGCGAGUGCUGGAACGGUUUACAGAGCGGACUUAAAAUCCGCGCCUCGAAAGAGGUUGUGGGUUCGAAUCCCACCUCGCCCACCA